AAAUCCAACUCGUUUUCCAGAAACGAUAUUGCAAGCUUUUAUCAUAAAACAAAUGAAAAAGUUACAUUUUGUUGAAGUUUGAUCCACGAAAUGGGCAAUACUGCCAGUAGUGACAGCGAAGAUGAAGUACGUGUUGACAACAAAGAGGUCGAUGAUGGCUAUUCUGACAGUGAAGCAGAAACUGGAGACAAAGAUGGUCCCUCACUCACAGACCUCCACGCUCUCUUCAAUGAACCAGGGCUACUACGAUCAGUUGCAUCAAAAAUAAAGGACCCGAUCCCUGACAAUG
rnacentral:lncRNA from 1 species